UACAGAGGGUGCAAGCGUUAAUCGGAAUUACUGGGCGUAAAGCGCACGUAGGUGGCGACGUAAGUCGGGUGUGAAAGCCCCGGGCUCAACCUGGGAAUUGCAUUCGAGACUGCAUUGCUGGAGUACGGAAGAGGAGGGCGGAAUUCCCGGUGUAGCGGUGAAAUGCGUAGAUAUCGGGAGGAACAUCAGUGGCGAAGGCGGCCCUCUGGUCCAGUACUGACACUCAAGUGCGAAAGCGUGGGGAGCAAACAGG
rnacentral:rRNA from 1 species